GCGGCGUUCGUCUAGUCUGGUUAGGACACCAGCCUUCCAAGCUGGGGAUCCCGGGUUCAAAUCCCGGACGCCGCA
rnacentral:tRNA from 1 species